AAACAGGUGACUAUGCCCCUACUUCUCCAACAUAACUGUGUCUCACAUGUCAUCCUCUUAGAAGGGAUGAAGUUUUGCUGCUGUCACUGGUCUCUUGUCUACUAAGAUGAUCUGAGACUGACUUCCAACAGUGAGAAUAUUGCUAAUGAAAAGAGGAUGCUGUAGUCAGUCAGCAGUACAGGUUUCUUAUUUAUGGGUGAAUGCAACCCUCAACUGAUUUCAUCUGCAAAGAAAAUGCUGACCUUCCAGUGUCUGAGAGGAGGUAACCCAGUUGGUGGAAAAUAGGAUAAUAAUUGGAUGCAUAGGUAUCAGAAUCAUUAAUGAUCUCUUCUGAAGGUGCUUUUAGAGCUUCAGAUUAAAAGUGCUGUAUAUCAUGGGGAAGAUACAAAGUAAGGGGCUAUUUAAACAUGUCCUGUAAUUUUAUUUUAAUAAUUGUUUUACCCUGGGCAAGUGUCUUUAACCCUAGUCCUUGGUUUACUUGUCUUUAGUACAACAGAAUUGUGCUAGAUUAUUUCUAAGAUUCUUUAUGGGCAGAACUAUUAAGAUGCUGUACAUGUUGGCCUAUAGUAAAGCAACAAAAACGAUCUGGCCCCCAAAUGCAUAAUUCCCAGUAAUCUUCUGAAUAGUAGCGAGGCAUAAGGGUUCACAGUGCAAAAUAGAACAUGUAGGAGUCAUAUAAUCACCAAGACUUAGAGGACUACCCGCAUGAUAGGUAGUAUUAUACUUUGUACUGAGGUUUCACGUCAAAGUGC